ensembl:lncRNA
CGACCUAAUUUUAGAACAUUUUCAUCCCCCCACAAAGAAGCCCACCUUGUUAGCAGUCAACCCCUGUGCCCCGCUCCCCUGCUCCCGCAAGCAGCCACUCAUUACUUUCUCUCUGUGAGGUGGGUAUUGUUGCUCCCGCGUUCACAAAUGAGGACAGCCAGAGCUCACUGGGGCUUUCAGCGGGAGGGUGGCGUGAGCGUUUUGUGACACCCAGAUCCAUCCAGCCUCUCUAUGGAGAACAGACUGCUUCAGAGUCACAUCCGGCGAAAAGGCAAAAGGCGGCGCCCGUCUCCCCUUUGACACACCGUGUCAGGAGAGUGUGUGGCAGAGACUGGCUGGCCAAGUAGCAUGACAGAUACAACGUCAAAUUUGGAAAGCGAAAAGGUUUAGCCGUGCUCAAAAACAAGUUGAAUGUCUCUGUGGACCGGAAGUGAAUAGAAAUGUGACGUGGGGGACUGAGGCUGUAGGCCUGCUGGGCCUGGGGCGCCCACCCUGGUCCAAGGAGCCGAAAAGGCAAAUGCAGUGAGGACAACCUGCCCAGCCCACACAGGACCCCAGCGGGCCAGCCGCUGUGGCAUCCACACCACCACGCAGGGCGGGAUAACUCGGUGUGGCAGAGAGUGGAUCCCCUGCCCUCCUUCUGGACUCACUGGGCCUCUGGCUGCCCAGCUCCACAUCUCCCAGCUUCUCUAGGUGACGGGUGCGGCCACAUAGCCAGGAUCUCACAAUGGAACAUCAGAGAGGAGGAUAUGCACCGCUUUCUGGCCCGUAAAAACGCCCGCACGGCUUCCCCCUUACCAUAGGUUGGGAUGACGGCAAAGAUGGAUCCGUGCCCGUUGCUGCUGAGACAAAUUACAACCAAGGUUGUGGCUGAAAAAAUGCAGAUACUUACAGUUCUGGAGGCCGGAAGUCUGAAAUCAGUUUCGUUGGGCCAAAGUCAAGGCCAAAGAGAGACCCCAAGGAAGAGCCCGCUGCCCCUUCCAGCUUCUGAAGGCCACCUGUACCUGCAUUCCGUGCCUCGGGGCCUCUUGCUCGAGUCACUGAGAAUAACAGGCUUGUGUUGUCACAUCUACUCCUCUCUGUGGUGGAAUCUCUCACUGCCUCCCUGUUGUGGGGACCUUGUGAUCACACUCAGGACCCAACCGGAUAAUCCAGGAGAAUCUCCAGAGUCCCUUUUUCCAUAUAAGGUAAUAUUCACGUGUUCUGACGAUUGCCGAAUGGACAUUCUCGGGGGCCGUUAUUCAGCCAGCCACAUUAAGGUGACAGGUAGACCUUGGAAGCCAUGUGCUGGAGACGGCAGAGCCCCACUAGCCUGGGUCCCUGCGAGACUGAACGGAACAGAUCUUCCUUACCAUCCCCUCCUCCUCCUCUGUCUGACCGGGAACAUACACCCUGGCCUGUUGCAUGAGAUGGAAAUGAAAUCCUGUGUUUAAGACAUGAUCUGCGCAGUCCAAUUUGUUACAGGUGUCUGGCCCACCCCAAUACAGAGAGCUUGGAGGUGGGGACUAGAAGCCAGUGGAUCUAAGAGAUUUGCCCAAGAUGACACAGCUGGCUGGUAAUAUAACCUGACACAGUAAAUUAGAUAUGUGGACACUUUUACAAAGCACUUUCAUUUUAGACAAAUACAUAACAUGCACUUUCUCAAAUACCUAACCUGAAUCAAUCAUCUCAGCAGUCCUAUGAGGCAUACAUGGGUGUGAUUUACUAUGCAUAAGUGAGGAAAUCACAGCAAAAAGGAAUACAAUAAAACUAAUUCAUGAUAGAGCCAUGACUUAUUGUGGUUAAUACCAUGGGCAUUGGUGUCAGCCAAUCUGGGUGGAAUUCCAGCUUUCCAUUUAUUGGUUGUGUGACCUUGAGCAAAUGAACCUCUCCAAGCCUAAGUAUAUAUCACCUAUUAAAUGGGGCUAAUAAUAGUAGCUACUUCAUACAGCAGUUUUUCAUAGAAUCAAAUCAGAUAAUGCUCAUAAAGCACUUAGCCUGUGAGGUACACAGCAUGCCUCCCAUUAAUAGCAGGUUUAAUUUGUGUGUUCUGAAUUGGAGUUCUUUACAACAUAUUAUGCUGCAUUACUAAUCCUUCAUUAAAAAAUAU